rnacentral:rRNA from 1 species
UACGAAGGGGGCUAGCGUUGCUCGGAAUUACUGGGCGUAAAGCGUGCGCAGGCGGUUCGUUGUGUCCGAUGUGAAAGCCCCGGGCUUAACCUGGGAAUGGCAUUGGAAACUGGCGAGCUUGAGUGCGGCAGAGGGGGGUGGAAUUCCGCGUGUAGCAGUGAAAUGCGUAGAGAUGCGGAGGAACACCGAUGGCGAAGGCAGCCCCCUGGGUCGACACUGACGCUCAGGCACGAAAGCGUGGGGAGCAAACAGG